UACGUAGGGUGCGAGCGUUAAUCGGAAUUACUGGGCGUAAAGCGUGCGCAGGCGGCUUUGCAAGACAGAUGUGAAAUCCCCGGGCUCAACCUGGGAACUGCAUUUGUGACUGCAAGGCUAGAGUACGGCAGAGGGGGAUGGAAUUCCGCGUGUAGCAGUGAAAUGCGUAGAUAUGCGGAGGAACACCAAUGGCGAAGGCAAACCCCUGGGCCUGUACUGACGCUCAUGCACGAAAGCGUGGGGAGCAAACAGG
rnacentral:rRNA from 1 species